rnacentral:lncRNA from 1 species
UUUUUCCUUUUGAGGAAUAUAUUAUUGAUUACUUCCUCGUGUGGAUCUUGAUUUGUCCUGGUCGGACUUUAUUCCCCACUGAAGCCCCACGAAGUUGAUUUUGAUUAAUGGAAUCCCCAGUAAGUUGUCCGGUUCCCCACUCAGAGUUUUAUCUCUUGUUGUGACGUGGAUUCCCAAUUGAGUUUCCUCUUCCAAUGAAAGAUCUCCUCAUUCAUAUAGUAUUUGAUUAUGAGCAUCUAUUCAUGCAGCUAUAUAUAUUCUUCA